rnacentral:rRNA from 1 species
AGUGAACGCUGGCGGUAGGCCUAACACAUGCAAGUCGAACGGCAGCACAGUAAGAGCUUGCUCUUACGGGUGGCGAGUGGCGGACGGGUGAGGAAUACAUCGGAAUCUACUUUUUCGUGGGGGAUAACGUAGGGAAACUUACGCUAAUACCGCAUACGACCUACGGGUGAAAGCAGGGGAUCUUCGGACCUUGCGCGAUUGAAUGAGCCGAUGUCGGAUUAGCUAGUUGGCGGGGUAAAGGCCCACCAAGGCGACGAUCCGUAGCUGGUCUGAGAGGAUGAUCAGCCACACUGGAACUGAGACACGGCCCAGACUCCUACGGGAGGCAGCAGUGGGGAAAAUUGGACAAUGGGCGCAAGCCUGAUCCAGCCAUACCGCGUGGGUGAAGAAGGCCUUCGGGUUGUAAAGCCCUUUUGUUGGGAAAGAAAAGCAGCAGGUUAAUACCCCGCUGUUCUGACGGUACCCAAAGAAUAAGCACCGGCUAACUUCGUG